rnacentral:rRNA from 1 species
AGUGAACGCUGGCGGUAGGCCUAACACAUGCAAGUCGGACGGCAGCACAGUAAGAGCUUGCUCUUACGGGUGGCGAGUGGCGGACGGGUGAGGAAUACAUCGGAAUCUACUUUUUCGUGGGGGAUUACGUAGGGAAACUUACGCUAAUACCUCAUACGACCUACGGGUGAAAGCAGUGGAUCUUCGGACCUUGCGCGAUUGAAUGAGCCGAUGUCGGAUUAGCUAGUUGGCGGGGUAAAGGCCCACCAAGGCGACGAUCCGUAGCUGGUCUGAGAGGAUGAUCAGCCACACUGGAACUGAGACACGGUCCAGACUCCUACGGGAGGCAGCAGUGGGGAAUAUUGGACAAUGGGCGCAAGCCUGAUCCAGCCAUACCGCGUGGGUGAAGAAGGCCUUCGGGUUGUAAAGCCCUUUUGUUGGGAAAGAAAAGCAGCAGGUUAAUACCCCGCUGUUCUGACGGUACCCAAAGAAUAAGCACCGGCUAACUUCGUG